GACGAACGCUGGCGGCGUGCUUAACACAUGCAAGUCGAACGGAAAGACCCUGCUUUUGUGGGGUGCUCGAGUGGCGAACGGGUGAGUAACACGUGAGUAACCUGCCCUUGACUUUGGGAUAACUUCAGGAAACUGGGGCUAAUACCGGAUAGGAGCUCCUGCUGCAUGGUGGGGGUUGGAAAGUUUCGGCGGUUGGGGAUGGACUCGCGGCUUAUCAGCUUGUUGGUGGGGUAGUGGCUUACCAAGGCUUUGACGGGUAGCCGGCCUGAGAGGGUGACCGGCCACAUUGGGACUGAGAUACGGCCCGGACUCCUACGGGAGGCAGCAGUGGGGAAUAGUGCACAAUGGGCGGAGGCCUGAUGCAGCAACGCCGCGUGCGGGAUGACGGCCUUCGGGUUGUAAACCGCUUUCGCCUGUGACGAAGCGUGAGUGACGGUAAUGGGUAAAGAAGCACCGGCUAACUACGU
rnacentral:rRNA from 1 species